rnacentral:rRNA from 1 species
GACGAACGCUGGCGGCGUGCUUAACACAUGCAAGUCGAACGGAAAGGCCCUGCUUUUGUGGGGUGCUCGAGUGGCGAACGGGUGAGUAACACGUGAGUAACCUGCCCUUGACUUUGGGAUAACUUCAGGAAACUGGGGCUAAUACCGGAUAGGAGCUCCUGCUGCAUGGUGGGGGUUGGAAAGUUUCGGCGGUUGGGGAUGGACGCGCGGCUUAUCAGCUUGUUGGUGGGGUAGUGGCUUACCAAGGCUUUGACGGGUAGCCGGCCUGAGAGGGUGACCGGCCACAUUGGGACUGCGAUACGGCCCAGACUCCUACGGGAGGCAGCAGUGGGGAAUAUUGCACAAUGGGCGGAAGCCUGAUGCAGCAACGCCGCGUUCGGGAUGCCGGCCUUCGGGUUGUAAACCGCUUUCGCCUGUGACGAAGCGUGAGUGACGGUAAUGGGUAAAGAAGCACCGGCUAACUACGUG